rnacentral:lncRNA from 1 species
GAGAAGAAGAAGCAUCGCAACAGGCAUCAUCAUCGCUAUGGUGAUGAUUAAAUCAAAAUACCUGUGGUCACUUUGUGAAUGGAGGUCAUCCCAUAGUUCUCUACUAAAUAAAGGGUUGGCCCAUUAUUGUGUCACUUUUCAGUGUGUUUUGGCUGUUACUGUGAUUUCUUGAGCUUUGAAGAAUUGUUUCCCUAUAUUAAAUGUGUUCUCUUUGGCUUUCUUGUUCUCAACUUACAUAUAAAAUCAUGAUGAUAAUAUAUUAUAUAGACCUAAUGUUUGAGUUUGGUGUUAGCAGCUUUCUAUUUCAUGAUCACAAGUACUUAUCUUUUAAGAUACUAUUCAGUUCAGUACUUCAGUA